rnacentral:rRNA from 1 species
UCUUCCCUCUUUCUUCGUGCCUAAUACAUGCAAGUCGAGCGAACAGACGAGGAGCUUGCUCCUCUGACGUUAGCGGCGGACGGGUGAGUAACACGUGGAUAACCUACCUAUAAGACUGGGAUAACUUCGGGAAACCGGAGCUAAUACCGGAUAAUAUAUUGAACCGCAUGGUUCAAUAGUGAAAGACGGUUUUGCUGUCACUUAUAGAUGGAUCCGCGCCGCAUUAGCUAGUUGGUAAGGUAACGGCUUACCAAGGCGACGAUGCGUAGCCGACCUGAGAGGGUGAUCGGCCACACUGGAACUGAGACACGGUCCAGACUCCUACGGGAGGCAGCAGUAGGGAAUCUUCCGCAAUGGGCGAAAGCCUGACGUAGCAACGCCGCGUGAGUGAUGAAGGUCUUCGGAUCGUAAAACUCUGUUAUUAGGGAAGAACAAAUGUGUAAGUAACUAUGCACGUCUUGACGGUACCUAAUCAGAAAGCCACGGCUAACUACGUG